rnacentral:rRNA from 1 species
UACGGGGGGGCAAGCGUUGUUCGGAAUUACUGGGCGUAAAGGGCUCGUAGGCGGCCAACUAAGUCGGACGUGAAAUCCCUCGGCUUAACCGGGGAACUGCGUCCGAUACUGGAUGGCUUGAGUUUGGGAGAGGGAUGCGGAAUUCCAGGUGUAGCGGUGAAAUGCGUAGAUAUCUGGAGGAACACCGGUGGCGAAGGCGGCAUCCUGGACCAACACUGACGCUGAUGAGCGAAAGCCAGGGGAGCAAACGGGG